UACGGGGGGAGCAAGCGUUGUUCGGAUUUACUGGGCGUAAAGGGCGCGUAGGCGGUCGUGACAAGUCACUUGUGAAAUCUCCGGGCUUAACUCGGAACGGUCAAGUGAUACUGUCGGACUAGAGUACAGAAGGGGCAACUGGAAUUCUCGGUGUAGCGGUGAAAUGCGUAGAUAUCGAGAGGAACACCUGCGGCGAAGGCGGGUUGCUGGGCUGACACUGACGCUGAACUGCGAAAGCUAGGGGAGCGAACGGG
rnacentral:rRNA from 1 species